rnacentral:sRNA from 1 species
GCUGGGUGUGGUGAUGCAUGCCGGUAAUCCCAGCUGCUCCAGAGGCUGAGGCAGGAGGAUCGCCUGGUGAGUUCAAAGCCAGCCUUAUCAAUGUCACAAGGCCUUGGGCAACUUAGCAAGACCCUGUCUCUA